rnacentral:tRNA from 1 species
ACCCAGGUGGCUCAGUUGGUUGAGCAUUUGACUUCAGCUCAGGUCAUGACCUCGUGGGUUCGUGAGUUUGAGCCCCACUUCGGGCU